UACGUAGGGGGCAAGCGUUUUCCGGAAUCAUUGGGCGUAAAGCGCGUGUAGGCGGUCCGGUAAGUCCGCUGUGAAAGUCGGGGGCUCAACCCUCGGAUGCCGGUGGAUACUGUCGGGCUUGAGUACGGAAGAGGCGAGUGGAGUUCCUGGUGUAGCGGUGAAAUGCGCAGAUAUCAGGAGGAACACCAAUUGCGAAGGCAGCUCGCUGGGACGUUACUGACGCUGAGACGCGAAAGCGUGGGGAGCAAACAGG
rnacentral:rRNA from 1 species